GUAUUGCAUAUUAAGUUUAAAAUAAAAUAUUUUAAUUGUCAUAGAAAAAAUUAUAUCACAUAUGUUUAUGUAGACCUGCAGUAACACAUUAUGGAAUGUGGGAUCAGCUUCGUGUGGACCAUGGCAAAGAGUUUUACCUCUGUCUGUACAUGCAAGCGAGGCUGUCAGAAUAUAGACACAACCAGCAGAGAGCGCCGUACCUACAAACUCAGUCAACAAGGAAUCACACUGUGGAAAGGAUGUGGCCAGAAAUCAACAACCGGAUAAAUUACCCAGGCCCUGGUACAGCUACAAGAUCAGGAAGCAAUUGACAUGGAGGACAGCCUGACCAGGUUCUGCACAUCCAAUCUGACUGUCCAGGUGUGCCAGAUUGGAAUGAAUAGAUUUGUGCAUUCAUGGAAUGCUCACAGGAUCCCAGGGAGAGGGAUACCAAAUCAGCUGGCUGGGACAGGAACACCAAGACAAAUUACAGCAGAUCUUCUACCAGAUGCCACGGUAGCAGCUGACAUGUAUGACAGUGACAUGGGAUCAUCUCUCACCAGAAUAUCUUCUUUUGGAAGUGACCCCUUUCUGUCCGAGAGCAGAACAGCACUUUUCACAUAAUUACCCUGACCUUGCAGUUCUUUUUGACAGUGUUGCCAAUUAUAACU